CCUUGAAAUACCACCCUUUAAUGGCUGGUGUUCUAACGUAGACCCGUAAUCCGGGUUGCGGACAGUGUCUGGUGGGUAGUUUGACUGGGGCGGUCUCCUCCCAAAGAGUAACGGAGGAGCACGAAGGUUAGCUAAUCCUGGUCGGACAUCAGGAGGUUAGUGCAAUGGCAUAAGCUAGCUUGACUGCGAGAGUGACGGCUCGAGCAGGUGCGAAAGCAGGUCAUAGUGAUCC
rnacentral:rRNA from 1 species